AGAUGCAGCACAUUCUUUUAGUGAGUGCCUUGUCUGUUUAAGAGCAGUAAUUGCCUAUUACUUUGCAGCUUCUGAUGUGCUUGGCUGCAUGACACAUGAAGAUACAGCAUAUAUUUAAAGAACUAACACUAGUUCAAAGUACCUGCUUGCAAUUUUAAACACAAGAAUCCAAUAAACUUCUAACGGCAGGAAGGAGAUUGGGAAAAAAAAAAGAGAAAAAAAGCACAUACAAAACAGCAAAUCAACAAGAGCCAGGUGGAACAAUGUUAAUGUUUGCAGAUCCUGUUUCUCAAGAGGAAGUUUUAAUUCUUUCUGCACACAGCCACAUUUCAGCCACCUUGCUGUCCCUGUACCUUCUUGUCAUGGCUGGAACUGGAAGCAGGCGGUACUGUGAUAUACACAGGAUAAUUUCCUCCCACCUGACGGGAAGCUGGGUGUUCCAGAUGUCUCACAAGAAAGCACAUGGACAUCAGGCUUCCAGUCUGAAUUUGCAAGCCCAGGAAGUUGGAAAAAGGCUGGGAGAAACAUCCAAACUCUCACAAUCUUGUGCAGACUAAAUAUCUAACCAUCUGAGAUCUCCCCCGUGGCGUAUUUAAUCGUGCAACUGUGAUGCCUUUGGUUUCCGCAUUCUGCACCUUUAAACCUGCAAGGACUCAACCAUCUGCAGAG